CAUUACUCAACCCCCAAACGGUUUAUUUGAUUAUUUCCCUCCCUCCCUCCUCCAGUCGCAACGCAACCAAACCAAACAGAUGAAAUCAUUUUCCCUCCUUCAUUCCUUCAUCCGACAGUCAAUCACUAUACACGUUCUCUCUCUUCUUCCGGGAGAGUUCAAUUGUCCGAUCUAUCAGAUUUUUUAACGAGACUCAGCUUAGAAAUGGACAAGGCUCGUCGAGUUCAUCGCGCUUUUAUCUCCAACAAGAAUUUAGCUCCUAAAGACAUUUUUGCGGUACUUUCAACCAAUUUCUUCCCUUUUCACUUUCUUAAUCAUGUUUAUAUGUUUUGUUUCAUGUUAAAUUAAGUUUAAUCUUAAUCCAAUCAGUUUACUCAUAGGACUUUAACUGGAAAUUUAUACUAAAUAGUUGAUACUAUUAGGGCCAAAUGGUUGCUGGAAUUUGCUGCUCGGAAGUGUUCAACAAGUGUUGUUAAAGCAUAAGUGAUCAUAAAGACUACAG
rnacentral:lncRNA from 1 species